GAAAAUAUUUUUGAGGCUUUCAACUAUUGGACCUCCUGGAGAAUCACCUUCUCAGAGAGGGAAAGAGAGAGGUUAAUUAAUUAAGACUGCUCUCAUCCCCAACAUCGUCAAGAUUUGCAUUGUCCUAAUAGUCCCGGUUGCAGUGCUUCUACUAAUGAUGACAGGAUACUUGGCUCCGAUGAUUGCCUACAUACCCAUGUCACUUUCUUUGUCUUGUAUAAUAACUGAGAUGGUCUUUGCAAAUACAAUACUGCCUGAGUGAAACUGGAGAGAGGGAGGGAGAGAGCCAAGGGAGGGGGAUUGGCCCAACACAUAUAUGAUGUGCAAGAUCAUAUUUGGUUUUAGCACUCAGGUAACUUCUGGAUUCUCUUCUGACCACUGCUUCAGGCUGAUAAUAAUGAUUCUUUUUUGUUUUGCCAGUGUAUAUGUUACAAAUUUACGAUUGAAUGUGACACUACCACUAAAGCCUUAGCUACAUUGUGGAAAAGAUGGAAAGAGAAAGGUGAAUUAUGAUGUGCGAUGUCCUGAUAAUACUCAGUUGCAGUGCCGCCACUGAAGUAGAAUUACAGUAAUCAGCAAAGAAACUUGGUGUCCAUGGCAACAGACAACACAUGACCAAAUAGUGUUGCAUUUUGAUUGAUAAGAACUGUCCUUACUGGCCUAUAGAUAAAGUGGGUACUAGUAUUGAAUUUCUAUUUUCCAUUUGCAUGUGCCAACCUCUGGAACCUCUUCUAAUCAAAGCUUCUAGUGUUUCUUGAGCUCUCCGGAUGUUAUGCAAUGCCGCCAGCUUGCCUCUGAUGGUCUGAAGGAGCUAUGAACUCAUCAACUGAAAUCUAGGUGCUGUGUAUGGGCGUGCAAAAGAUAACUGUGUUGCACCUUCAUUGACUACAACUCCCCUGAGACUCAUGUCAGCUGAUAUGGAGGGUCACCAGAGGUGUCUAUGUUGUUUGUGUCAUCUCAAUUAUUUACCUGUGGCCUCUUAAUUAAGUAGCUAAGAAACUAUUUGCAUUGAGAUGGUGGGAGUCUGUAGGUCAAAGGCUUCAACUUCCGAGGAGCAGACAUAGAAGUAGCAUGAAGAGGCAGUUUCCUGUUUGUAGUAUCUUUCUAUUGGCUAUAGAGAGACACUACCUGGACUGUUGUUUCUAGUGCUUGUUAAUCAAUUUUUCCAUCAUUAGUGGAACAUUUUCAACAAUUUUGUACGAACUUAUGCAUUCUUAUGCGCACGUACAACAGAGUUUUACUCAAGUUUCCGGACAGUUCCAGCUAAUUACAACUAGAAAUCUGAAGAGAAUGUAUCAUGUAUGGCACUGUUUUGGAAAACUCAAAGCAGAGCUAUGAAUAUGCACAACAUUCAUGGGAAUGUAUCCUAAACCUGUACCUGCGUUGUUAUCA